GGAUGUGAGGGCGAUCCGGCUGCGACAUCUGUCACCCCAUUGAUUGCCAGGGUUGAUUCGGCUGAUCUGGCUGGCUAGGCGGGUGUUCCCUUCCUCCCUCAGUGCUCUGUGUGUGUUCCUCCCGGAGCUGCGCACUGGGUCAGAGAGGACGGCCUUCCCCGAAUAGAGACGGACCGGUCUUUGGUAUACGAGUAGCUGCACUACCCUGCUAGAGCCUCCAAACAAACUCUCAAGAGGGUCUCUCCACACGAGGGACGCCCACAGUCAUGGGAAGGACGCAAUCUUCUUCUCACAGCCCAACAUGGCAUGUGGGAUGACUGU
rfam:Erinaceus europaeus unplaced genomic scaffold scaffold00824, whole genome shotgun sequence